rnacentral:rRNA from 1 species
CACGUAGGGUGCGAGCGUUUGUCCGGAAUUAUUGGGCGUAAAGAGCUCGUAGGCGGUGUGUCGCGUCGGCCGUGAAAACCUGCAGCUUAACUGUGGGCUUGCGGUCGAUACGGGCAUCACUGGAGUUCGGGCAGGGGAGACUGGAAUUCCUGGUGUAGCGGUGAAAUGCGCAGAUAUCGGGAGGAACACCAAUGGCGAAGG